UACGUAGGGUGCGAGCGUUGUCCGGAAUUAUUGGGCGUAAAGAGCUCGUAGGCGGUCUGUCGCGUCGAUCGUGAAAACUUGGGGCUUAACCCUGAGCUUGCGGUCGAUACGGGCAUGACUGGAGUUCGGCAGGGGAGACUGGAAUUCCUGGUGUAGCGGUGAAAUGCGCAGAUAUCGGGAGGAACACCAAUGGCGAAGGCAGCUCGCUGGGACGUGACUGACGCUGAGACGCGAAAGCGUGGGGAGCAAACAGGG
rnacentral:rRNA from 1 species